rnacentral:rRNA from 1 species
GUAAACAGCUGGCGGCGUGCAUGAGACAUGCAAGUCGAACGGACGAUGCGGGCUUGCUCGAUCGUUAGUGGCGGACGGCUGAGUAACGCGUAGGUGACCUGCCCCGAAGUGGGGAAUAACUGCCCGAAAGGGUGGCUAAUACCGCAUGUGGUCGCACGUUCGAUCGUGCGAGUAAAGCCGCAAGGCGCUUCGGGAGGGGCCUGCGUCCGAUUAGCUCGUUGGUGGGGUAAUGGCUCACCAAGGCGACGAUCGGUAGGUGGUCUGAGAGGACGAUCACCCAGACUGGGACUGAGACACGGCCCAGACUCCUACGGGAGGCAGCAGUCGGGAAUUUUGCUCAAUGGGGGAAACCCUGAAGCAGCAACGCCGCGUGAGGGAUGAAGGCCUUCGGGUCGUAAACCUCUUUUGCCGGGGAAGAUGAUGACGGUACCCGGUGAAUAAGCCACGGCUAACUACGUGCCAGCAGCCGCGGUAAUACGUAGGUGGCAAGCGUUGUCCGGAUUUACUGGGCGUAAAGAGCGCGCAGGCGGUCGUCCAAGUCGAAUGUGAAAGCCCCCGGCUCAACUGGGGAGGGUCAUUCGAUACUGUUCGACUCGAAGGCAGGAGAGGGAAGUGGAAUUCCGGGUGUAGUGGUGAAAUGCGUAGAUAUCCGGAGGAACACCAGUGGCGAAGGCGACUUUCUGGCCUGUUCUUGACGCUGAGGCGCGAAAGCUAGGGGAGCAAACGGGAUUAGAUACCCCGGUAGUCCUAGCC